UACGGGGGGGGCAAGCGUUGUUCGGAAUUACUGGGCGUAAAGGGCUCGUAGGCGGCCAACUAAGUCAUACGUGAAAUCCCUCGGCUUAACCGGGGAACUGCGUCUGAUACUGGAUGGCUUGAGUUCGGGAGAGGGAUGCGGAAUUCCAGGUGUAGCGGUGAAAUGCGUAGAUAUCUGGAGGUACACCGGUGGCGAAGGCGGCAUCCUGGACCGAUACUGACGCUGAGGAGCGAAAGCCAGGGGAGCAAACGGG
rnacentral:rRNA from 1 species